GCAAAGUUCUGCGGUUCUGGUGAGAACUGUCAAAAUGUUUCACAAACUCAUCCAUGUUGAGGGAGCGAGCCCUCCUUGACUUAACCUGUCAUCAACCAUUGUUGUCCUAAGGUGGAUUUUAAUCAGUUUUAAAGCUGAGAAGCUUCUCUCACAAGAAGCACUGCUGACUGGUGCAUCAACAGAAAUCUUACAAAGUGGAAAUAGCUCAUGGAAGACCUCUUUAUAAGGUUCUAGAAACACAACAAAGUCUAGGAGAGUAGACGGUCUGUCCCUUCCUCCUUUCUCUCUCCUAUCAAGAAGCCGCUUGGUUUGAUGAACCUCAUGUUUGAGGUCCUCUAAAUCUGACUCAGAGGUCUGAGCAAAGGCCAACAGAGGCUCCUCAUUCAAGAAUGUUGUUCUCUUUGGGUUGAGAGACUGGACCCCUUGCAUUAUCUCGCAAUUCUUCUUUGAAAAACACCUCUGCAACUCCGCUGUGAGACUGUCAAGCACCUGAUAAAAGAUAGCUCUUUGGAAGCUCUCACCAUCACUUUGGUCACUAUCAUCAUCAGUGAGUCGUGAAAUCUUAAGCUUGUUUUAGGCUGUCUUUUAGCACACUGUUUGUUCACAAAUUUUGCAGUGCUCUGCAAUCUCUUCAACCUCUUUCCAUAGUUCUCCAAAGUAACCCUCACUUCUGUAGUCCUGUAAUGUGUCUGUAAGGGCACCUACUAGAUGCACAGCCCUUGCUCGGUCAAGAGAGCUUGAUUGAAGCAUGUCAAAAAGACAUUUGGCAUCACCAAGCACUACAAAAGUUAACCAAAAGCCCUAUGAAAUGUAAAUCUGAGAUAGAAGGCCCCUUGCCUCAACGGAUCUAUCACCACUAUUUUCAAGUGUGAUAUUCUGUAGCACUCUCAGAACUGCUGGGAGCCGUCCCUCAGAUUACUGCAUGCCAUGUAUCUGCAGGCCCACCUUACAUCCGUAAGUCUCCGUAGUUCCCUGGGCUGCUGCUGUGGAUACAGCUCUUUCUGAACUGCAAGCCACUUGAGAUGAACAUAUGAGCCAGAUACAACGUUAUAAAGCUUCUGCAGGAAAGUUAACUGCCUCAGGCACUGAUUUUACAGCCUUGACAAGAACCAAAUUGAAACAAUGUGCAUUAGAGUGCACAUAAAAUGCAAAUCUUGUACUUUUUAAAAUCCGUGCAGACACACCAGAAUGCUCUCCGCUCAUUACGGAUGCACUGUCAUAGCCUUGCCCCACCAGAUGAUUUUUGUUGUCCAGACCAUGUUUUUCAAGGCAAUCAAUUAUCAUUUGUGUGAGACCUGCUGCAUCUAAGCUGUCAGCUGACUGAAAAUGUGAAACACUUUCGUGGAUGGCCUCGUUGUAAUAGUACCUCAACUAAAGACAUUUGGUAUUUUUUCUUUAAAUCUUUGGUUUCGUCUGUAAUUACACAAAAAACUUAACUUUCUUUUACUUCUCUUAUGAUUUCACUUUGUACCAUGUCAGCAAAGCCCUCAAGAACUUUGUUCUGGAUUUGGUGGCUUGUGUACUUAACAUUGCCAAUUGCAUUCAUCUUUUUCUCUAUGAGAGGGUCAUGCUUUGCUAUUUCUUCUAAGAUUGUAAAAAAAAACUUGUUGUGAGAGUCAUUAGACCUUCUAUGACCUCUAUUAGACCCUCUAUGCCCACUAUAUUUUGAGUGGCAGUUCAUAGGAGCACAUCUGCAGUUGUUUUAAUGUAAGUACAGUUUUCCUCCACUUUCUUUUUCCGGUCCUCAUUUAUGACAUCUAACAUUGUGUCACGCCCUGACCUUAGAGAGCCUGUUUAUUUCUCUAUUUGGUUAGGUCAGGGUGUGAUUUGGGUGGGCAUUCUAGUUUUCUAUUUCUUUGUUGGCCGGGUGUGGUUCCCAAUCAGAGGCAGCUGUCUAUCGUUGUCUCUGAUUGGGAAUCAUACUUAGGCAGCCUGUUUUCCACCUGAGUUUGUGGGAUCUUGUUUUUGCACAGUAGCUGUAUAGCCCUGCAGAACUUUGCGGUCGGUUAUCUUUUGUUGUUCUUUGGUCUUCAUUUUAAAUAAAGAAGAUGUACACUUACCACGCUGUGUUUUGGUCUCAUUCCGAUGACGGACGUGACACAUUGAGAUCCUGUCAAUAGCCCUUUUAUGCUGAUUCCAAGCAUACAUAGCAUUGAUGUGAUGCUCUGCCUUCGAAUGGAGCUAAAGCCCAGAAUCUUUAAACAGCGCCUUUUUCCAGUUACAAAACCAUGACUGUGAUGUGAAGGCAGAUGUAGGUGUAAUGGGCAGAGAAACAUGACUGUGAUGUGAAGGCAGAUGCAGGUGUAUUGGGCAGAGAAACAUGACUGUGAUGUGAAGGCAGAUUCAGGUGUAUUGGGCAGAGAAACAUGACUGUGAUGUGAAGGCAGAUUCAGGUGUAUUGGGCAGAGAAACAUGACUGUGAUGUGAAGGCAGAUUCAGGUGUAUUGGGCAGAGAAACAUGACUGUGAUGUGAAGGUAGAUUCAGGUGUAUUGGGCAGAGAAACAUGACUGUGAUGUGAAGGCAGAUUCAGGUGUAUUGGGCAGAGAAACAUGACUGUGAUGUGAAGGCAGAUUCAGGUGUAUUGGGCAGAGAAAAAUGCCUAGAGGUGAAGCAAUAAGUCAAAUCUUGAUUUACAGAAUAUUCAAGCCACGAAUUGUCCUUAUACCAGGAGCUGUUGAAACCCUGGACACCCCU